UGAUUACCGAGCUUGUUUGCCUAAGUUAUAAAAUAAUAGGGUGACAAUGCCAGUGAAUGAUGUCAUUCGCUCAGGGAUCCGCGGGAAACGGUUGGUCCUUCCAUGUUUGAAAAGGUAUCUAUGCA
rnacentral:ncRNA from 1 species